CAGUUUACAUAUGUUAUGUCAGAGUCCAUGUUGAAGUUCGUAUGCAUUGUAGGAACUUCAUACGUUUAGCUGGGUCAUUUCAGGACAACAGUUUCACGGAUCACCUGCAUUUUAUCACCUUUGACCUUCUCAUGUGCAGGUCUCGCAGCAUUUGCAGUCAAAUCAACAUUUUUCUUUGCUCGGCCUACGAUGAAUGGGACAAACACAUGUGGGGUCCAGGCUGUGCUGGCUAGCUAGGCAUGAAAAACAGAACUGGAAUGACAGGUCUCAUUGUAGUUGACAGAAGAACCAGAAAUGAUUUCUAGGCCAUAAUGCCCACCAGUAUGUCGGGAAGUGACAGUAACUGUGGGGAUAACAGUCUUACUGGGUAUCCAUUGAUUUGCUGUGGCUCUCUCGUUGCAGG